GCAAACUUUCGCGAUAAGCCGUGCCGCACUGAGGUCUAACGAGCACCAGCUUUCUACUCAAAGGCGUUGCCAGGGGACCGCUCCAGCGGCGACACGUGUGGUUUUAAUCGACGCGCACGAAGAACCUUACCCGGAAUUGCCAUGCAACUGCAAGCACACGGAAACGUGUGUCCUAAGAGGGUGGGGCAACGGUGCUACAUGGCUGUCAUCAACUCGAGACGUGAGAUGUUAAGUUCAGUCACAAACCGUGCGCAACCCUCGCCGCCAGUUACACGUGACUGGCGGGACUGCCACCUUAAUGGGUGGGGGAAGACGGGGAUGACGUCAAGUCCGCCUGGCCCUGCCGCCAAGGACAACAAACACGCUACAAUGGCCGUCGGUGUGCGUUGCGACACCGCAAGGAGUGGCUAAAUCCCAAAGGCGGUCUCAGUGCAGAUACGGGGGCUGCAACUCGCCCCCGUGAAGG
rnacentral:rRNA from 1 species